rnacentral:rRNA from 1 species
AGUGAACGCUGGCGGCGUGCUUAACACAUGCAAGUCGAACGAGAACGGAAUAUAGCUUGCUAUAUUUGUCAGCUAAGUGGCGCACGGGUGAGUAAUGUAUAGAUAACCUGCCCUUAAGAAAGGAAUAACAGUUGGAAACGACUGCUAAUGCCCUAUAUGCCUUUAAUACAUAAGUAUGCAAAGGAAACGCUUUAGUGCUUAAGGAUGGGUCUGUAUGGUAUCAGCUUGUUGGUGAGGUAAUGGCUCACCAAGGCUAUGACGCCUAACUGGUUUGAGAGGAUGAUCAGGCACACUGGAACUGAGACACGGUCCAGACUCCUACGGGAGGCAGCAGUGGGGAAUAUUGCACAAUGGACGAAAGUCUGAUGCAGCAACGCCGCGUGGAGGAUGGCACAUUUCGGUGCGUAAACUCCUUUUAUAUAGGAAGAUAAUGACGGUACUAUAUGAAUAAGCACCGGCUAACUCCGUGCCAGCAGCCGCUGUAA